UACGUAGGGGGCUAGCGUUGUCCGGAAUCAUUGGGCGUAAAGAGCGUGUAGGCGGCCCGGUAAGUCCGCUGUGAAAGUCGGGGGCUCAACCCUCGAAUGCCGGUGGAUACUGUCGGGCUAGAGUGCGGAAGAGGCGAGUGGAAUUCCUGGUGUAGCGGUGAAAUGCGCAGAUAUCAGGAGGAACACCAAUGGCGAAGGCAGCUCGCUGGGACGUGACUGACGCUGAGACGCGAAAGCGUGGGGAGCAAACAGG
rnacentral:rRNA from 1 species